rnacentral:lncRNA from 1 species
GUGCAUCAGCUAUCUAUCGACAUCAUAAUGCUGUGUAACAAACAACCGCACACUCUCAGCCUGUUUUGCUCUUGCAUCUGGGGUGGUCAGCCGGGGGCUCUGCUGGUCAUGGCUGGAGUCGCACACACGGCUGGGGCUUGGCUGGCUGCUGGCCGAUCUAGGCUGGCCUGGUCAGGAGGAGUCAGGCCUCUCAGUCUGGUCCACGAGCCCCUCAUCCGCCAGGCUAGUUUAUUCGUGUGCUUCUCACAGUGACAGUGGGGGCAGGAGGGAGUAAGCGCAGCCCCUUGAAGCAUUUCAAGCCUUCGUGGGGAUCACGGGUGCUGACGUCUCGCCGGCCAAAGCCUGCAGCGUGUGGUCCCGAGUCCGUGUGGGAGGGCGCUGCAGGGUCACGGGGUACCAUGUUCAGAAAACGCUGGGGAUCUUUGAUUCAGCGAUCCCGCCGCCAGCAACUUUGUAUCCUAAGGAAGUCACCGGGCAGUGGACAAAGACGUGUGCACAAGGAUCCUCCUCCGGCCAGAGGCUGCAACCCUCAAUGGACAUCAGUCAAAGGCCAGACACAUCUGGACCUGCGGCUCCGGCUCCAGGACUGCGGCCUCUGAGCCGUCUGUUCCAGAGCAAGUCUGAACCACAGGCUGCCCCCGCCCCUGAAGAAGUCAUUGGCCAGGACGGGACCCCUCGGCGCCCCCACCUCAGGCCGCAUCGCUGCCGCCGUCACAGGCGGAGCUGUCGCAGAAUCACGCAGCCUGAAACACCCACCGGUCCGGGUGCCUGGUGAUUUUCCCCUUUUUCCUCUGCUUUAAAAUGUUAACAAUGAAUGGAUUUAUUUCGAAC